rnacentral:lncRNA from 10 species
AGUGCCACAUACAUCGCGCCUGUGGCCAUGUGUUCAAGAAUGCUGUGACUAAAGUGAGGAGAAAGGCAGUUUCUGUGCCACAGCCUCCACCCCAGAUACACGAGCCCGUGGAGCUGUGGGAAAGAAGGAGGAGGUGCUGGACGAAGCUGGAAAUGGUGGGGAAAUGGAAGCACAGAGAGGCCAAUACACUUGUUCAAGGUCACACAGCCCGUAAGUGGUAAGGCCAGGACUUGAAUCUGAGCAGUCCAGCUACAGAGCCCACAUGCUGAGACCACCGUGCUGUGCAAUUUUCUGGCAGGUGAUGCUGAUGACAAUGAUGACACUUUUGACACAGCGCUUUGGUGAGCGCCACAUGCAUUAAUAUGUGGGAACCUGCUCUGCCAGCUAAAAAGUGAUGGACCCAUAUGAACUCUGACUUAGGUACAAGUUGAGGGAGAGGGAAGGCUACUCAGAGCAGCAUCGUAGAACGCCUACUGUUUGCAGACCCUGUGUGAAGCGCUGAGAAAUGGAAUGAGGAAGGAGUCCCAGCCUCGGCACUCAGGGACUUCCCAUGCUCUCAGUGA